UUGCCAACUGCCAGUGCAGACGUAGGGGGGUCAUUCUCACGUGCACAAGACUAUACAAAUUCCACACGAUGUUAGAAGAAGACUUUCUUCCCCUAUUCUCAUCGCACACUCUUCUUCUUCACGGUCUCGUCAUUUAGACCAAGUAGCUGGGUUCUUCAUAUUCAUUCUUUUCCAGAAUUAAUAAAUUCCACAUUCCAAUUCAUUCUCUUUCUCUGAUUAUGGGGAUAAGGAUUGAUAGUUGGAACUUUUGGAUUUUGGUUUGUUUCAAGAGCAUGGUUGUCCUGGCCUUCCAGAUGGCAUCGUGAAUUAUCUGGAAAAUAUGGCAGAUUGGUAUUUGGCAAUGAUGGAUCUUUGAUUUUCUGAUCUUUUGUGAGAAACCCAGAUAGGCUUAACAGUUCUGGAUGCUUAACUGUACGGUGUGGAUUUCUUUAGAGCUGGGUUCUUAAUUUUCAUGGGCUUUAUUGCAUUUUGAAAACAAGAGCUUCCCUAGGUCUACAUUUAAGGCUUCUUCUUAUUGGGUAUGGAGCACCUUCCAGUUGAAGUCAUAGGUAACAUAUUAUCCCGGCUUAAAGCUGCCCGAGACGUGGUAAUUGCAUCCGCAACUUGCAAGAAAUGGAGAGAGGCUUGGCGGAAUCACCUCCAUACUCUUUCUUUCAAUUCCAACGAUUGGUCUGUAUAUCAUGAUCUGGCACCAAGUAGGUUGGAAAUUCUUAUAACUCAAACAAUAUUCCAAACCACAGCAUUGCAGUGUUUAUCAAUUUUUAUGGACGAUGUAGAUGAAUUUUCAGCUGCCCCAGUGAUAGCUUGGCUCAUGUAUACCCGGGAUACCUUGCGGCAACUACAUUAUAAUGUGAGGACAACCCCGAAUGUCAAUAUCAUUGAGAAAUGCAGUCGGCAGAAGCUUGAAGUAUUGUCGUUGGCUCAUAACUCUGUAACAGGUGUUGAACCCAGUUAUCAGAAAUUUCCAUGUUUGAAGUCACUUUCCCUAAGUUAUGUCAGUAUAUCAGCAUUGGAUUUGAGCCUUUUGCUCACCGCAUGUCCAAAACUUCAGAAUUUGACCCUUAUUAAUCCUGAUAUUGCCAUGUCGGACGCACAGGCAAUUAUGGAACUUAACAGCUCUUCAUUGAAAGAUAUCUAUGUGGAAGCUGUCAGUUUAGACAAGUUCAUAUUGGAGGCUGAUAGCAUUGAGAAUCUGCACCUAAAAGAUUGUACCCUUGAGGCUUUCGAGCUUAUUGGUAAGGGUUCAUUGAGGGUUCUGAAGAUUGACGAUGUUAGUGUCCUCCAUCUAGAUAUUGGUGAGAACACAGAGAAUCUUCAGAUUGUGGAUGUUAGCAGCUUUACGAUUAUGUGGCCAAAGUUCUAUAACAUGAUCUCAAAAUCAUCAAAUUUAAAGAGGCUUCGGCUCUGGGGUGUUGUAUUUGAUGAUGAGGAUGAGGUCGUGGAUUUGGAGACUGUUUCUGUUUGCUUCCCUCGGUUAAGUCACCUAUCACUAAGUUAUGAUUUAAGAGAUGUCUGUGGCUUGCAGGGGACAUCUCCUUUGGAGAACGUGGUUGUGUUAGAACUUGGGUGGACUAUAAUCAGUGACCUUUUCUCUGACUGGGUAGCCGGACUUCUAGAAAGAUGCCCUAAUUUGAAGAAGUUGGUUAUUUGUGGCGUUGUUUCAGAAGUUAAAUCCCAUGAAGAAUGCCAAGUUUUAGCAAGCUUCACUUCGUCCAUUGUCCGACUGAUGAGAAAAUACAUGCGUGUAGAGGUUCAGUUUGAGUAUGAAUAGAAGUCCUGCUGACUGCUGUGGUGACUUCAAAUUUGGCUCCGCAUGAUUGUACAACAAGUGUGGUUACUAUUUGGAUAAUUUGGAUUGAAGCUGUUUAUGGCACUCAAUAUGGCUACCUUCCUGAAUAUGGGUCGCGGGUUUGGUAUGCUAUGUCUCCCGAUUGCUUGAGCAGGUGAACUCCUUUACUUCAAAAAUUGAAUGGAUAGAAUGGAGCCUGUUUCUUGAAAAUGAUAAUGCCAUGAUUUUUUAACUGAUUGUAAGAUGACGAACUUAGUCCAUGUGAGAAAAAAAAAUAGUAAAAGAAGGUAAAACUAAACCAAAAAUUAUGGAAGUAAAAUGGGAUGAACACAUUAAACUAUAUGCUAAAAUUCUAGGGAUGAUCAUCAACUUUGAAACUUUCUAUCAUCUACCUUAACACUAGAUGCAGGGUCGAUUUUUAAUCAAUGUGGAAGAUGAUGGUGUAUGGCCAAUUUGUGAUUUUGGCUACUUUGAGAUCUUUUUCGUCCUGUUUGUUAGGUGAGAAUCACCAUCAAAUUAGAUUUCAGAUUCCAGAAGAAAGGAGACAUGCUAAUCCAACAAAUAUGAAAAACGCAAAAAUAAACGCCACUCUCGCAACACAAAGCGUGCUAGGGUGAGGGCAGCAAAUGGUCUGAACACCACAUUACAUACAUUAGCUUGAGCAAAGAAAAACCCUGUGUUACUAUCCCCCAGCUUCAGUCACUGAAUUCUGGACUUCUGUUUGAGGGAGGCCUCUUCCAUAAGAGUGAAAUGAGUAAAAACUUAUAUAUAUUUGGAAGAGUAUGUUAAAAAGGCUCCUAUUACAGUACUAUAAAUGUCAAAUCUAUGGUUAGUCGCCACGAUCUGUCAAGAUAUGAACAUUCCAGCACAUUGUUACGUUGAAACCACUUGGGGAUGUUUCAUUAAGACUGAAAGGAACCCGCAGUUUGCAGUCGAUCUUGCUAGACGGGUAUUCGGCUGUCUUGAAACUAAAGUACCUGGCUCUUACCUGAAGAGCAAGCUGCAGAUCAAUACUGUAAAUGCUGGCAGCAGUGUCCGAAUUAAAUUGGGAAAUGUCACUUUCCCCAAACAACACCAACUGCUGCCCUUCAAGAACUGCAUGCAAAGUGGUCGUGUUCUUAUGGCCUUGGUAAAAUGGUGCGGAAGUCAAAUUCACCAUAGCAAACGUCUUCUUUCUAUAGUUAGCAAUUACUUGAAUGCGACGAUAGUAUAUGCCAACCUUCUUGUUCGAGUUUCUGAUGGUGAUGUUGAGUGCAAGGUUGUAGUGGAUAGUGCUGUUGUCGGUGUUGGUAAAAUUGAAUUGGGUCAGAGAGGCAUCGGUGACCCUGAAUUUGGGCUCAUCAGAAGUCAAGAUGUAGCAGAACAUGAAGAAGGCUAGGGUGAAGCAGAGGAAAGUGUUGCAGAGAAGGCAGAAGCAGCAGGCACACCCUCCAGACAUGGCUGAGACGAAACAAGAAAUGGUGCGAGAGAUGGAAAGCGAUAUAUAAAACAAGGUGGUUUUGGCUUUGCCUAUAUGAAGAUUUUUAAUCAAUAUAUUGAUACAAUGUAUGUGUGUACGUUAAGAUUUAGUGAUUAGCAGUUGGAAGAGAUUAUGGCUUAGACAAAAGUUUCAAUGUCAAAGCCGGAUUGAGGAGUGUCUUGUUGAAAAUCCUAAGGGGAACUUCCAAAGAUUGCAUUUUUUUUUUUUUUUUUGGUUGGG